CGCGGCUAGAGGGAGCAGCCCUGGACACAGUGCACGUGGGAGAACAAAGGCUGAUUCUCCCAACUCUUCUGGAACCUAAUCUUUGUUACUAAUGUAUUCUAAGACGGUUACCUGCAAUGGUAAAAGUCUCGAGGUCAGUCAUCUGCAAAGGUUCUCCUUGCCUGCAGUGGGCAGUCUGUGGACCUUGGCCAGAGUGAGCUUUUCACUAGGUAUUCAGAUCAGGAAGAUAACAGAUCUCCGGCUUGAACUCUGAAAGCAGAAGUCCUUGAGAAGCCUUUAAGGAUUGGAUCCUUUCAAGGCUGAAAUUGCUGUUCUCAUCAGCUUGCUAGAAGAAUGACUAGAUGGAGGAAUUCACCACAAAAGGAAGAACCAGAAGUAAUACCCUCUGCCAUAGAUUUAUAUGGAUAUAUGGAUAUAAGUAAAAUGUUGGACAUGGAAUUCAGAAUAAUGAUUAUAAAGAUACUACUAGCUGGGCUUGA